rnacentral:rRNA from 1 species
UCUGGUGGCGAUGCGUUUAGGGGAAACACCCGUCCACAUCCCGAACACGAUGGUUAAGACCUAAGCGGCCGAUGGUACUACGCUGGAGACGGCAUGGGAGAGUAGGUGGCUGCCAGAU